rfam:Gammaproteobacteria bacterium SG8_30 WOR_8-12_308, whole genome shotgun sequence.
CGUCGGUUCCUCCGCGACGAUCAGCCGUGAAGUCCGCCAGGCCCGGAAGGGAGCAACGGUAGCGGUGACAUCGGGUGCCGGAGGGGUGCUGGCGCGG